rnacentral:rRNA from 1 species
GACGAACGCUGGCGGCGUGCUUAACACAUGCAAGUCGAACGAUGAAGCUGGAGCUUGCUCUAGCGGAUUAGUGGCGAACGGGUGAGUAACACGUGAGCAAUCUGCCCUUGACUCUGGGAUAACUGCGGGAAACUGUAGCUAAUACCGGAUACUUUCACCGGGGGGCAUCCUCUGGUGAUGAAAGAAUUUCGGUCAAGGAUGAGCUCGCGGCCUAUCAGCUUGUUGGUGAGGUAACGGCACACCAAGGCGACGACGGGUAACCGGCCUGAGAGGGUGACCGGUCAAACGGGGACUGAGACACGGCCCAGAUUCCUACGGGAGGCAGGAGUGGGGAAUAUUGCACAAUGGGAGCAAGCCUGAUGCAGCAACGCCGCGUGAGGGAUGAAGGCAUUCGGGUUGUAAACCUCUUUUAGCAGGGAAGAAGCGAAAGUGACGGUACCUGCAGAAAAAGCACCGGCUAACUACGUGCCAGCCGCCGCCGUAA